AAGCGAAAAAUAAAAUGAAAUAAAAUCAAACAAAAGAAAGUGAAGAAGAAAAUGCGACAAAUUCCAGGGCUCAGGCCGCAGCUUAGAGCCCGAUGCGCGAAUAUUGCGCAUACGGCACCCCCGUCCCCCAAGGGAAAAAUACCCAGAGCAACACCUCCGAGACCCCCGAUGGCCGCCCGCCUGCGAACCGAUCCAGAGUUCCAGGGAUCCAUGAGCCACAGCCGGCCCAAUUGCUGGAGACAGGGCAGACGCACCAGGAAAGGAGCACAACAAACCCAAAGCACACCAAACCAUACUAUAGAGAACCAAACAGAACCGAACCGAACCUAGAGAGAUGGCGAAAAUAUUGUUGGCAUACUUUUUCAAGUGUUUCCUGCCUUCCUGUAUGUUGUCCUGGCUCCUUGCUCCUCCGCCGCCGUUGACUGUUUAUUUUAACUUUUGGCAUUUUGUGCGCGAGCCGGGGGAAUUUCGGAUGGCUGAAAUAGGAAAGUAAAACAAAAAGCGGUUAAACAAAAAUAUGAAAAAUAAAUUGAAACACUCAACCGGGCCUGUCUAUCUCAACAGAGCGCACAUAAA
rnacentral:sRNA from 1 species